rnacentral:rRNA from 1 species
ACAGAGGUCUCAAGCGUUGUUCGGAAUCACUGGGCGUAAAGCGUAUGUAGGCGGCGAGGUAAGUCAGAUGUGAAAGCCCAGGGCUCAACCCUGGAACUGCAUCCGAUACUGCCACGCUCGAGUAGUGGAGGGGUAUAUGGAAUUCACGGUGUAGCAGUGAAAUGCGUAGAUAUCGUGAGGAACACUAGUGGCGAAGGCGAUAUACUGGACACUCACUGACGCUGAGAUACGAAGGCUAGGGUAGCGAAAGGG